rnacentral:lncRNA from 10 species
AUUCCAAUCAUUUGUUUUAAGUCAAAAAGAAAAUGAAUUUUGAAUUUUCCAGGAAUUCUGAGGACAAAGAGCAAAGGAUUUAAAAUAAUUUUGAAAGAAGUGAUUACACUGACAAAAAGUGAAAUUUAAGGUAGGUAGGAAGAGACUGUUACAGCAGGAGAUAAAGGAGAAAAUGACAGGCAAACCUCAGAGAUACUGCAAAUUUGUUUCCAGCCAGCAAUAAAGUAAAUAUCUCAAU